rnacentral:lncRNA from 1 species
AUGCCUGCCCUAUUUAUUUCUGCUACCAUGGAGGAUGGAGAUGAGCAUCAUGGCUGGUGCAGGGGCCAAGCCCCAUGCUGCCGGGGGGACCCCAGCUCCAGUGCUCUGGUGCCCCCACCGGACAACUACCUCAGCCUGCCUGGCCCCAGGCACUGCCACCCAUGCACCGCCGCCCAUGCACCAGUUAUGUCUUCAAUAAAGGUGCUGUGCAAUGGGACAAGGGUGCUGUGUGGUGAUAUGGAGUACUUCACUGCCCCCCCGGCCCAGUUCCUAUGCAGCCCUGUGGGGUUGGUGCCAGGCAGCCCUGGCUCCUGGCCUACCCACAGGCUGGGGCACUUUGUCCCUGACCCGGCUGACCCUAUGCACACAGCAGGGCAGCCAGCUCUGCGGCAAAGCGGGCCGGCAGCCAGCCCCCAGCCGCCACAGUGCAGCCCAUGCUGGGCUUUCCCAGGCUGUUCCUGGCAGCUCCCUGCAUCCCUAGAGCAGGGAUGGAGCAGCUUUGCCACUGGUAGCCCUUGCUCACGGGGACAGGGUGGGGACACAGAGAACAACAUGCCCCUGCUCUGUUUCUUUCCCCUUUUAAAGGCAAUAAAUGAGAAUUCCAUCCGACAAGCCACCAGGUGCUGCCACCCUCUCCUGCCUGCAUCCCAUUCCCACCCCCAUGCACCGAUGCAGGACAUAGAUAGGGCUUCCAUCCCCUGCCUCACCCCGUGCAGCCAGGACCAGUCUCCACGUGCUGGCCCCAGCACGUGGAUAGGCCACGGGACGGUAGCCUCAAGCACAGCCCGUGGCAAGGCGCGUGCUGAUGGAGGCUCAUUGUGCCAAACCCCCCUGCUCACUGCCGGACAGCGGAAAGAUGCUUUCCAUGUGAGAGCAUCCUCUCACCCUGAAACUUUCCGCUGUCUGGGCCACCUGGCUGAGACAGAGACCAGCUGGCAGUGGGGCCAGCAGCCGCAGAGCAGGGUCAUGACCAGUUCCUCUGCCACUGCACUGGGGACAGCCAGGGGACAGGGGGUGGCCAGGGCAAGGUGGAGUUGA